rnacentral:rRNA from 1 species
CCUACGGGAGGCAGCAGUGAGGAAUAUUGGUCAAUGGGCGUAAGCCUGAACCAGCCAAGUCGCGUGAGGGAUGAAGGUUCUAUGGAUCGUAAACCUCUUUUAUAAGGGAAUAAAGUGUGGGACGUGUCCUGAUUUGUAUGUACCUUAUGAAUAAGGAUCGGCUAACUCCGUGCCAGCAGCCGCGGUAAUACGGAGGAUACGAGCGUUAUCCGGAUUUAUUGGGUUUAAAGGGUGCGUAGGCGGCAUUUUAAGUCAGCGGUGAAAGUCUGUGGCUAAACCAUAGAAUUGCCGUUGAAACUGGUAGGCUUGAGUAUGUUUGAGGCAUGCGGAAUGCGUGGUGUAGCGGUGAAAUGCUUAGAUAUCACGCAGAACCCCGAUUGCGAAGGCAGCCUGCCAAGCCAUGACUGACGCUGAUGCACGAAAGCGUGGGGAUCAAACAGGAUUAGAUACCCGGGUAGUC